rnacentral:lncRNA from 1 species
AAUCGAUGAGCCGGCAACGGUGUGAUUCAUUGAUCGCCCGCGGGUGGUGGAUGGGGAUAACGCUGGGUCCAAGAAUCCCAGCUAGUCUCCAAUGCAGAUAUCCUCUGAUCCUGAGUAUCCAAACGUGCUAACAGGACUCUUCGUCAUCAUUGAAGAUAGCAAAGGGUGCAUGGAAUUCUUCACGGAUAUCUUGCGGUGUAGCAUCUUCGUCCAUAGGUUCGGGUUGCUCAAUUGGAGCUCUAGAAGUAGUGCCGGGUCUUGUCUUCGUUCGUCCCAUGACUGAGCUAAUGAUGGACAAAUAAGGGUUAUGGCGGAACGACUGAAAAUCACUCCAACGGUUGGAGUGGGCUUACUGAUGUGCGGAUGAGUCUGGUGGACGGGGACAAGGGUGGCACUGACAAAGAGGCGCUGACGGCGGCUGAAUUCAGGCCAGAGUAAGAGCUAUGCGCAGGAUGCGCCGGAGCAGCAGAUCUGGAGUGCAACGGUGAAAAGUCGCGCUGUGUGUGGAGCUAGGCGUCUGAAUCUAGUGACGCGCUGGGUGGCUGACCUGCUCGGAGACGGGAGCGGAAAAGAGACCGUUUGAAGACAGAUAGUGAGGAGGAACAACGGCGA